GAGGUAUACAAAUGGGUGCUGGGUAACCAGAUACCAGGGUGAAAGGGUUGAAAACAGUGGUACCACAAAGCCUUCUGUAUCGCACGUGGUUUCGUCUGUCAUUACUUCGCUUCUGUCAGGCAAUAACAGGAAGAGCUUCCUUAGGGCUUUCCAAAACUCAUCUUCCUUUUAGUUGGCUAAAGGACUUUGAAUCAGAAAGUGUUUUUGGAUAGAGGGAGGAGCCUGUGAGCCUUUGAGGCAACCCCACAGAGCCAGGAGGUGGGAAUAAGUUCUUGGCUUUAACAUCAUCUACGCGGCCUUAGCUUGAAGAUGAGAAAACUGAGGUCAGAAAGAUAAGCUGAUGGGCCCAAGCUAGAAGCGCAAGUAUCCUGCCUGAUGUUCAGAUAGUGAAGGAAAACUACAGUGGUUGCCAAGAUACACUGCAAAGGAGAGAGAGUCCUUCCUGGAAUGGAAUUCUCAGCAAAUUGAAUAUUGUGAGAAUAACAGUGAAAAGGAGAAGACUUCAGGCUCCAGUUAUGGGUAUAAAACCAUUUUUUAGGCCCUUGAAAUGCUUCUAGGCCUGGACACUGUGCCUGUACUGCCCAGUACAAUGGAUAGAAAGGAUCUGCAACCUUGGGCCUCACUUCUCUGUAUUCCAUGAGGUGCUGUUGCUCCUGCUGUGGUUGGUAUUCUUCUUACUACUACCAUUGUUCCAUCUGAGAGAUGUGAAGGUGCCAGUGCUCCCUUGCCCUAGCUUCCUGUAGUUAUUUGGGUUUUGUCACUGUCUAAUCUUACAGGUGAUGGUGGCUUUCCCGUCUAUACCAUCUCAUACCUCUGAGUCUUAAAGAUUCCUUUUUUUUUUUUUAAUGAGUUGUUUUGAAAGGAUGAGUGUCCAACAAGAGCCCAGUACUUCUUGAAACACUGGUCGGUAUCUUUCUGAUAGACUUUCUGGCUGUCUUCUUGGCUCUUUAUUCUGUCUCUGUGUCUGGUAUAUAUUAUCAUUAUCAUUGUUGUUUUUAUUAUUUGGUAUCUUUGGCUCUUGGCUCUGAGGCCCAAAGUUCAGUCCUGUUCCAUUCCACACCCAGGCUCUCAGAACCUGUGCUUACAUCUCACUUACCAGGACCUAUUUAAUUGGGAUCGGAAAAGAGGCUAGGUUUAUGGAGCAGGAUAAACAAGGGUUUUGGAAGUAGGCAGACCUGGGUUCAAAUUCCAGUACCACUGCUUGCUAGUUUGAUUGAUUGAUUGAUUGAUAGUUUUAUUACUUAGAUCCAUUACAAGACCUCUCUGUGAGACUAUUUUAAUAUGUGUAAAAUGGAUAAAUUA